GGCCCCGUGGUGUAAUGGCUUGCACGUGGGGUAUCUUUACGAUAUAAUAACAUCUAAAGUGUAUUUACAAGGUCACAGUUCGAAUCUGUGCAGGGCCG